GCCGCUGCGCCGCGGGCUCCCCUCCGCCCUCAGGGGACUCUCCAGGGCCCGCCCGGAGCUCUACUACCCUGAAGGGUCCGCAGCCCGGUGUGCCGUUAAGGUGUGCCCAGUCGGUGGAUUUGGUAACGUCCGCAGGGCCCGGCGACUAACAUCCUCCCGUGUCACAGCGUUCCUCGGCAGCUUCCAUCGCCCGGCCGUGGCCGUGAUCACUGCCCCGCCUUCCCCACCCGCUCCGCAGGGCCGGAGCUCUGUGCCCCUCCAUCAGCAUCUCCUAACGUCCCUGUCUCCUCUCCCCUGGUGACCACCGUUCUACUGUUUCUGCUGACGGUGAGAGUGUGUGCAGGCAGCAGGGACAACCUCCAGGUCUACUUGCCUGUCCGGUCACUUCCCCUACUCGGUGGCCCACGGACCUGACCCACUCCCCAUUCUGUAAGUGAGAAAACCAACCCUCCACCAAGCACUAUACCCAUUAAUUCCACACCCCGUUGUGGGAAAAAUGAGUCUUGGCCAUUCCCCACUGUAUUAAAGCAGGCAAUAUGACAUGCUAUAAAAUCACCGUAGUCUUAAUAAAAUGAUUCUGAUGAAAAUACAUCGGUGACUUUCCCUCAAGGUCGUUUUCUUUUUUAAACUUAAUUAAGCAACCCUAAGGACAGUAAAUAACUGCAUGGUAAAGGUCUUUAAUGCAAACCAGAAGUCAAAAAGUGUCACCAGGAAAAAUACCGAGUGCUUCUGCGUGUGCCUGUGUGUGCCCUCCGUCUGAAGAGGGACAAUGCCCUGUGCGUUCCCAGGACUACGAGAACUUUGAGUCUCGGCUUCCACAUCUGUACAACGGGGUACCUGCCUCACAGGGCUCUCUAAGAGGACUCAGCGAGUGAGCUGGCACACAGGCUGCCAGUUCUUAAUCAGGACUGAGAGGAGGUGUGCUAGCGGCUAUGAAAGCUAAAAGCCAUGCUGGGCCCCACUCUCCAGAUGUGGUGCCACAAAAGAGUUGGCAGUUUCAAUUACAGGGCACAUCUUUCAGUGGGCAACCGCAGAGCUCUGUGUACCAGCCGUGAGCACAAAGAACCAAGUUUAAGUUCACUCCAAUCUCCCCCUCUCUGUCCCCAAGGUCCCUCUCUGCGAGGUGUCUGCAGGGCUGUGGAGGAGGUUGGCUCCCCUUAAAAAAUGUUAACCUCAGGAUGCCUGGGGGGCUCAGUAGGUGAGUGUCUGCCUUCAGCUCAGGGUGUGAUCCUAGGGUCCUGGGAUCGA